rnacentral:lncRNA from 1 species
UAAUCAUAUCUUUAGAUAUAUUUCAUUAAGCAGAGCUACCCUUCAAAACUAACUUUUUGUUUUCAAAUGGAAACUUCUAGAUUCAAAAGAGAGGGCGGAGGAAAACUCUCAAUGCGCUGCCCGAGAUAGAAACUGUGUGGGAUGAAUUGUAUCACGGUGCGUGAUAUUUUUCGCACUAGUGACUCAAAGGUUGCAUUUCCUUGAAAUUCGCACCGCAUGAUUUGGAAUAUGCGAAAUACUUUACACAUCAAUAAUGGCAUAUCCACGGAUCUGUCACCGCUGGGCGUAAUUAACGGCGUACUCAAUCUCUUUUAGGGCUGGGUCAUCGUGGUAAGCAAUGAUUACCUUUCGAUUGGUGAUACGCGUUUACAGCAAGCAUCACCCAGGCCAAAAAGUUGCGAAGUUUGGGUCAACCUGCUACACAGUCAACACUUUUCAGGUUGCUGGUCUGUCGUCAAAUAACGUAACAUUCUCGUGCCACGUCUAAUCCAAACAAAAGAUUGGCUUAACAGGUCUCCCUCACAAAAUUUCGGGUUCAGAUAAUGUAUCUAAUUCUAUAUGGAAUACCCCUAAGGUUCUUGCAAAACUGACUAGAUGAAUUUAACACAAGAAUUCGUUGAAUUUAGUCAUAAAAGUCAGUUUACUGGAUUCAUCAAACAAAAAGUAAAAGGAUCGUGAACAAAAUUUAGUAAAUUAUAUAUGUAACUGUUCUCAAUAUUGAUUAUAAUUUUGACCAUAUAUCGACA